rnacentral:rRNA from 1 species
AGAGUUUGAUCCUGGCUCAGAACGAACGCUGGCGGCAGGCCUAACACAUGCAAGUCGAGCGAAGCCUUCGGGUUUAGCGGCGGACGGGUGAGUAACGCGUGGGAAUAUGCCCUUUGGUACGGAACAGUCCCGGGAAACUGGGUUUAAUACCGUAUGUGGUCCUUCGUAGUGGAUACGGGGGACGAAAGAUUUAUCGCCAAAGGAUUAGCCCGCGUUGGAUUAGGUAGUUGGUGGGGUAACGGCCUACCAAGCCGACGAUCCAUAGCUGGUUUGAGAGGAUGAUCAGCCACACUGGGACUGAGACACGGCCCAGACUCCUACGGGAGGCAGCAGUGGGGAAUCUUAGACAAUGGGGGCAACCCUGAUCUAGCCAUGCCGCGUGAGUGAUGAAGGCCUUAGGGUUGUAAAGCUCUUUCAGCUGGGAAGAUAAUGACGGUACCAGCAGAAGAAGCCCCGGCUAACUCCGUGCCAGCAGCCGCGGUAAUACGGAGGGGGCUAGCGUUGUUCGGAAUUACUGGGCGUAAAGCGCAUGUAGGCGGACCAGAAAGUUGGGGGUGAAAUCCCGGGGCUCAACCCCGGAACGGCCUUCAAAACUAUUGGUCUGGAGUUCGAGAGAGGUGAGUGGAAUUCCGAGUGUAGAGGUGAAAUUCGUAGAUAUUCGGAAGAACACCAGUGGCGAAGGCGACUCACUGGACAGUUAUUGACGCUGAGGUGCGAAAGUGUGGGGAGCAAACAGGAUUAGAUACCCUGGUAGUCCACACCGUAAACGAUGAAUGCCAGUCGUCGGGUAGCAUGCUAUUCGGUGACACACCUAACGGAUUAAGCAUUCCGCCUGGGGAGUACGGUCGCAAG